AGGAUUGAAGGAGUCACUGGGGAUGAAGAUCACUGCUCAGGGGCUGACGACCCCCCUCCCCCUCAUCUUUCUGGAGAAGCGUCCUCAUGGUGCAGGCGACCAAGCAGCUUAAUGACUGACUGGUUCUUUAUACUCCGGACCUCGUCCCGGAGCAGAGGACAGACCUAAGGCCUACAGCGCAGCAGACUAGAGACUCUCUGUGGAACCGGUUCAAUAAAGUUGACCUCUCCUUCAGGUGACUUAAAGGGAGACCAGAUGUGCGGCAGCUGGGUGUCAUGGUGCAGAGACCCAACGCUGCACUGAACUACACCAGUGUGUCCUACUCCCCAUAAACCCUGAGGAUCCCUGGCUACACCAGCACAUUAAUCCACACCCAACAUUAACACACAGUGCACACUCUAUAGAGCUUGUAAGUCCGCCCCUUGCGGCGGGACCUCGUGAGAUCGUAAGAUAUGACUGGGUUUCAAUGGAGAGAAAGUAAUUAUUUUCUCCAUUAUGUUGCACCACAUUUUGGGGGAAGAAUGUUUGAAUCAAUCUUUGUCAUUUAUUUCUGUACUCCAUAUCUGUAAUCCCAGCUGUUGUAUUUUAACACGGUAGCUGGGAAUCCUCUUUAUAGGGAGCGGCUAGAGGGACGAGCCUGGAAGCAAACCUGAGCCUGGAUCUUAACCUUCUUUCUAAACCUAAUGCCGCAAUUUAACCGCAAAUAAAGUGAGGCCUAAAGUAACUUGACUCUCUUACCUAAACUUGCUUGCCUAAACUCGCUUGUCUAAACUUGC
ensembl:lncRNA